GGAGCCCCUGAAAGCUUCUGAUUCAUGUGUACAUUGGUAGGUGGCAGAUAUGAGACAGCCUAAAUCUAUGCUGAGUGUUCUGACCUAUGAACAUCUGGAUAAUUAGAAUUCUACCAUU
rnacentral:snoRNA from 1 species